rfam:Xenopus laevis strain J chromosome 9_10L, whole genome shotgun sequence.
GCCUUGGGAUGAUGACAGAAAGGCCGAAUUGCAGCGCUUGGCAGCACGUUCUCUCUACAGAAGCGCAGUGACAAAGCCCCUCGAAGCGAAAACAAAGCUGACCAAUGC